CCCGGAUAUCCGUUUAAAAGAAAAUAAAAUUUUGCUACUCCCUCAACUAGCCCGGCCCACUUACGCUUAGGGUUUCAUUUUUCUCACCCCAAAAAAAAAGCCACCAUCAUUCACUCAGUCAGAUUUCUUCUCUCUCUUUCCUUUUUCUUGCGCCUCAUCUCCUUUAUCAAAAAAUCAUCUCAAUCAAUUCUUCACUCGAAAUUCGACCACAUUCAUCAUCAAACAUCAGUCGAUUUCAGAUCUAAACCUUAAAUGCCUCUGUAUCACCGCUGUCCUUGACUCCUUGCCGCUGACCACUCUACAACGGAAUGAAAGAAUUGGUUUUGGAACAACCGACGUCCGACGAUUGUUAUUGAUGAGACAAUUGAAAUGUCGGAUCUCACAAGUGAAUGAAUUGAAGCCCUCCCAUUUCUUUUGUUGUGUGUCUUUGUGCCAUUAUUUGUAAUUUAUAUGUUUUGAAGUUAUGUAAUUAUAGACUCAAAAACUUUGUAUUUCCGUCCUUAAACUCUAGCUUGGAUUUUGUUUUA